UCACUGACAUUAGAUUACCCCCGUAGUCCAGGGCGUAAACGCUGUAGACUUGGUGUUGGAGGCCCUUUGGGGCAUUCAGUGCCGGAGAGAAGUUGUUAAGUCUGCUACUUGGGGAGUACGUCCGCAAGGAUGAAACUUAAGGAAUUGCGGGGAGCACCGCAACGGGAGGAGCGUGCGGUUUAAUUGGAUUCAACACCGUAAAACUCACCAGGGAAGACUGUUACAUGAAAGCCGAGAUGAAGACUCUGCUAGAUUUUCAG
rnacentral:rRNA from 1 species